AACAAAUAGAACAUCCAAGAAGCUCCUUACUUCUCCAUUUCCUACGGGUAAACACCAAGUCUGAAAUUUCAGCUUACUUUACUCUCUUUUUCUCUUAAGGAAAGUGCUAGGAAGCUCCCUUGAGUCUUCCUCUCAAGUCCACCGGUUCACACACCAAAAGAAAGACAAAAACCCACCCAAAAGUCUUCCCCUUAUCCCAUUUUCUUGGCUGCACCAGACAGAAAGUCCAGCAGCAAGAAGGAAGCUUCUUUCAAUUCUCUCAAGCUCUCUACCUCUCAUACCUUCUGGUCCAGCCACUAGGAAAGGAAAAUCCUUUCAUGUGUUACCAGUAUCCAAGUCUAAGCUCCUUCGACUUUAGGCUCUUGGUUCCUUUGCUUUCAGGUAAGGGAUAAGUUAUAUGAGCAUUUGUUAGCAGGAUUUAUUUUGGAACAGAGGGAGCCUUAGUCGAGUUUUGAAAGGAGCUGGUUUAGUUAUAUAUGUAUAGAUCCUAAAUUAGCAAUAUGAUGUUUAGAUUUGUAGCAUUGUUUAUUUUAGGAUCUAAUGAAAGUGUAUACCUUAAAGUAUUAAGAGAUGUAUUAUGUGAAAUUCAGAAUUUGAGUAACUGGUGAAUUAUGUUAUUCUUUUGAGUACAAUGUAGAUACUCUGAAUGUCAAGUGAAAGGUCAUAUAAUCUAAAUAAAGAAACAAGGAUUGAAAAGAAA